rnacentral:rRNA from 1 species
UACGUAGGUGGCAAGCGUUUUCCGGAAUUAUUGGGCGUAAAGCGCGCGCAGGCGGUUAUGUAAGUCUGAUGUUAAAGCCCGGGGCUCAACCUCGGUUCGCAUUGGAAACUGUGUAACUUGAGUGCAGAAGAGGAAAGUGGUAUUCCACGUGUAGCGGUGAAAUGCGUAGAUAUGUGGAGGAACACCAGUGGCGAAGGCGACUUUCUGGUCUGUAACUGACGCUGAGGUGCGAAAGCGUGGGGAGCAAACAGG